UAUAUAUGAAAUUGUAUUAAAUACAAAACUAAUUCUUAAAAUUAGAUUUUGAAAAAUUACUCUCUCGCCGCUUUUCAAAUCUACCGUGAGAUGAGGUGAUUUUGUCAAAAAUGAUUUUUAAAAAAUUCAUUAAAUAUCAAAAUUUGCUUUUAACUUUUUAAAUCACUUUUGAACUUCUCAAAGCAAUCCUAAACAGGCCCUAUGAAUGUUACUAACUACGCGUAACUUCCAAGCUUCUAUCUAAUCCGGCUUUUGGCAACUUAAAAUAAUAAUUAUUUAUACAAUAUAGAGUACUCUAUGAACUGGCAGUGGUAAGUGCCUACUGAUGGUUAAUGAGUAAGCAAGAUAUCAUUAUACCGUUUUUCCAUCCUUUGUACCUUUUGAUUUUGAUUUUUAAUUUUUUUUAAACCUUAGCAACUAUCUAGGAUAGUUUCUGAUUUUUCACUUAAAUUCUUUUGUCAACAUUAAGCCGAAAGACUUUACGUAAGCACGCGUCAACAUGAAAGUUGGGAGGGAUUUUAUUUUGGGUGGUCAUACAAGCUAGUAGCCCAUUGCUUUUUGGGUUUUUUUUCUACCUACCAAUGACUUGGAUUGGUUCGUAAGACGGUGAAAAUUGUUUUAAUGGAACUUACAACACAGAGUACUCCAUGAACUGGCAGUGGUAAGUGCCUCCUCAUAGUUAAUUAGUAAGAAAGAUAUCAUUCUACUGUUUUUUCCAUCCUUUGUACCUUUUGAUUUUGAUUUUUAAUUUUUUUUAAACCUUAACUACUACCUAGGAUAGUUUCUGAUUUUUCACUUAAAUUCUUUUGUCAACAUAAAGCCGAAAGACUUUAGGUAAGCACACGUCCACAUGAAAGUUGGGAGGGAUUUUAUUUUGGGUGGUCAUACAAGCUAGUAGCCCUUUGCUUUUUUGGUAUUUUUUUCUACCUACCAAUGACUUGGAUUGGUUCGUGAGACGGUGAAAAUUGUUUUAAUGGAACUUACAAUACAGAGUACACUAUGAACUGGCAGUGGUAAGUGCCUACUGAUAGUAAAUUAGUAAGCAAGAUAUCAUUGUACUGUUUUUUCCAUCCUUUGUAGCUUUUGAUUUUGAUUUUUAAUUUUUUUUUUAAACCUUUGCAACUAUCUAGGAUAGUUUCUGAUUUUUCACGUAAAGUCUUUUGUCAACAUAAAGCCGAAAGACUUUAGGUAAGCCCACGUCAACAUGAAAGUUGGGAGGGAUUUUAUUUUGGGUGGUCAUACAAGCUAGUAGCCCUUUGCUGUUUCGGCAUUGUUUUCUUCCUACCAAUGACUUGGAUUGGUUCGUGAGACGGUGAAAAUUGUUUUAGUGGAACUUACAAUACAGAGUACUCCAUGAACUGGCAGUGGUAAGUGCCUACUGAUGGUUAAUGAGUAAGCAAGAUAUCAUUGUACCGUUUUUUCCAUCCUUUGUACCUUUUGAUUUUGAUUUUUAAUUUUUUUUAAACCUUAGCAACUAUCUGGGAUAGUUUCUGAUUUUUCACUUAAAUUCUUUUGUCAACAUUAAGCCGAAAGACCUUAGGUAAGCACACGUCAACAUGAAAGUUGGGAGGGAUUUUAUUUUGGGUGGUCAUACAAGCUAGUAGCCCUUUGCUUUUUUGGUAUUUUUUUCUACCUACCAAUGACUUGGAUUGGUUCGUGAGACGGUGAAAAUUGUUUUAAUGGAACUUAAAAUGAGCCCAAGUCACAAACUUUGGAAUGAUAUAUACUGGCUAUAAUUCCUUGUAAACCAUAUAUGUAAAGAGACAGGUGAAUAGGUAGUAGUUAUCAAUUAUUUUGUCAAAUAGCUCUCGAAAUACUCUUCUUUUGAUCUUUCUAUUUUCUUCUUCUGUUGUACUAUGGCAUGUUGCAGUGGG
rnacentral:lncRNA from 1 species